CAGCAGCCGCGGUAAUACGAAGGGUGCAAGCGUUACUCGGAAUUACUGGGCGUAAAGCGUACGUAGGUGGUGGUUUAAGUCCGUUGUGAAAGCCCUGGGCUCAACCUGGGAAUUGCAGUGGAUACUGGAUCACUAGAGUGUGGUAGAGGAUUGUGGAAUUUCCGGUGUAGCAGUGAAAUGCGUAGAGAUCGGAAGGAACAUCUGUGGCGAAGGCGACUAUCUGGGCCAACACUGACACUGAGGCACGAAAGCGUGGGGAGCAAACAGGAUUAGAUACCCCUGUAGUCCCUGUCUCUUAUAC
rnacentral:rRNA from 1 species